rnacentral:rRNA from 1 species
UAGGGAAUCUUCCGCAAUGGACGCAAGUCUGACGGAGCAACGCCGCGUGAGUGAAGAAGGAUUUCGGUUCGUAAAACUCUGUUGUUAGAGAAGAACAGCGCAUAGAGUAACUGUUAUGCGUGUGACGGUAUCUAACCAGAAAGCCACGGCUAACUACGUGCCAGCAGCCGCGGUAAUACGUAGGUGGCAAGCGUUGUCCGGAUUUAUUGGGCGUAAAGCGAGCGCAGGCGGUCAAUUAAGUCUGAUGUGAAAGCCCCCGGCUCAACCGGCGAGGGUCAUUGGAAACUGGUUGACUUGAGUGCAGAAGAGGAGAGUGGAAUUCCAUGUGUAACGGUGAAAUGCGUAGAUAUAUGGAGGAACACCAGUGGCGAAGGCGACUCUCUGGUCUGUAUCUGACGCUGAGGCUCGAAAGCGUGGGUAGCAAACAGG